CCUACGGGAGGCUGCAGUGGGGAAUAUUGGACAAUGGGCGAAAGCCUGAUCCAGCCAUGCCGCGUGUGUGAAGAAGGCCUUCGGGUUGUAAAGCACUUUCAGUGGGGAAGAAAGCCUUGGGGCUAAUACCCUCGAGGAAGGACAUCACCCACAGAAGAAGCACCGGCUAACUCCGUGCCAGCAGCCGCGGUAAUACGGAGGGUGCGAGCGUUAAUCGGAAUUACUGGGCGUAAAGCGCGCGUAGGCGGUCUGAUAAGCCGGUUGUGAAAGCCCCGGGCUCAACCUGGGAACGGCAUCCGGAACUGUCAGGCUAGAGUGCAGGAGAGGAAGGUAGAAUUCCCGGUGUAGCGGUGAAAUGCGUAGAGAUCGGGAGGAAUACCAGUGGCCAAGGCGGCCUUCUGGACUGACACUGACGCUGAGGUGCGAAAGCGUGGGUAGCAAACAGGAUUAGAUACCCCUGUAGUC
rnacentral:rRNA from 1 species